rnacentral:RNase_P_RNA from 1 species
UUCCACGUCUUAUCGCGCCGGUUUUACCGGUGAGGAAAGUCCGGACAAUGCAGGGCAACCGCACCACUUAACAGGUGGCUCAGAAUUUAUUCUGACGAGAAAGUGUCACAGAAAAGAACCGCCUCAAUUCGUUGAGGUAAGGGUGAAAAUGUGUGGUAAGAGCACACGCUGUGUUUGAGCAAUUGAACACAGGGAUAAACCUUGCGGAUUGAAAUGCCAUGUAUAUCCAUUACCUGAAAAGGUACUCUGGCCCUGAGGUGUCAUUAGACAGAUGGAGGGGUAGGCAGAGCAGAUAAAUGAUAAGAUGCUUCCGUUCUGCGGAGGUAACAGAAUCCGGCUUACAGUGGAAUUUU